GUGCAUCAGAACUUGCAGCUUAGAGCAGCACCGGUGUUGCAGUACUCUCAUGGAGAUUCCUACCAUUCUGCAACAAGCAACACAGGACUCCCACCCUUAAAGUAACAGGAUAGGAUUGAACACAGCAAUUUAUUUUCUCAAAACAUAGGGCCACCCAGGGACCUGCACUGGCCAUGUCAUCCAUCGAGUUACAGAUCUCAUGUCUACAGCAGCUGUCAGCUCAGGGGGAGAGGCACUGGCUGUUGUGGAUGUCCCAUAGGCAGGGGAUAUUCCCACAGGUGGUGCAAUCCAAGCAAUAUCACAGUAAUGAUCACAAGAACAGGACCCAGUGGAUCAGUAAUUCUGAACAUUCCCCAGGGCUCUACAAGACAGAGUGAACGAUUUCCAGCAGCUUCAGUGGGC
ensembl:lncRNA